ACUGCUAAGCAAAAGAGCAUACCAAGUACGUGGGUUUCCUUCUAAAGUUUCCAAGAAUGCCCCUCCCGCUCAAUCUUCUUCCACCUUCACCCCAAAAAGACCAAGGCUUCAAAAAUAAAAGUUUCUUUCCAUAUAAACUUCAGAGAAUUAUCUAGGGCAAAUUCCUGAGCAAAAAGAGAAGGAAGGCUAUUGUUUCACGCCUCACAAACAUGUCUGGACUCGAUUAUGGCUGAGGGAGUGUCAAGUUUUCAUAAUGUUGAAAAGCUACCGGUUAGAAGAGGUACAUCGAUGGUCCCUCAACAAAAUUGCAUCUUUUCAUCAUCUCAACGAAAUGACAAUUCUUGAAGAAUUUUGCCUUCUUAUUAUAUUGAAGAAAUAUUGAUACUUUUUUGUCUUUAAUUUAUUUUCUGGUGUUUAGAGUUUUUUUAUUUCUUAUUAAUUAGCUACUGGUUUUUGCAUUGGUGUUAUGUUGCUGGUUUUUAU